GUAGGGAAUAUUGGUCAAUGGACGAAAGUCUGAACCAGCCAUUCCGCGUGCAGGAAGAAGAUUCUAUGGAUUGUAAACUGCUUUUAGCAGAGAAGAAACGCCUUCAUUGAUGAGGGUUUGACGGUAUCUGCGGAAUAAGCACCGGCUAACUCCGUGCCAGCAGCCGCGGUAAUACGGGGGGUGCAAGCGUUAUCCGGAAUCACUGGGUUUAAAGGGUGCGUAGGCGGGAAAUUAAGUCAGUGGUGAAAGUCUGUUGCUUAACGAUAGAAUUGCCGUUGAUACUGAUUUUCUUGAAUUGGGUUGAGGUUAGCGGAAUGUGACAUGUAGCGGUGGAAUGCAUAGAUAUGUCAUGGAACACCAAUUGCGAAGGCAGCUAGCUGGGCCUUGAUUGACGCUGAGGCACGAAAGCGUGGGUAGCGAACAGGAUUAGAUACCCCAGUAGUCC
rnacentral:rRNA from 1 species